UGUGUUUGUUUUUGUACUCACGUAGUCUCCAUGUGCUCGUUUGGUUGAUUGUUGUCACCUGUGUGUUGAUUGUCUCGCUCCAGCUGAUCCUCAUCUCCACUCAGCUACAUAAACUCACUCAUCUCUCUGUCUGUUGUCAGAUCCUCAUUCAUGUCUCAGCUUCCCAGUUGGAUUACCGUCUCCCGUGUUCGUGUUCUGGAUUGUGUUCGUGUUGUCGUCUUCGUGUGAGUGUUCCGGUCUGUUCCUGGUUUCAUCCAUCGACCGCCUUCACAUUCACCACCGACUUCACCAUCAGCACUUCUCACGCCACCGUAGACCUUCUCUCACCAUUGCCUACAUACUGGACUCUAUUAUCAAUAAACAUCUUCUGAUUGCCUGCAUUUGCCUCCUCCUCUUUUACGAGCCAUCACAGAAUAUUGACAGAUCUUGCUGAUGCUGCUGGUUAAAAGUUGGAACUUUGCAAUUUGAAGAUGUUGGCCAAAAACCAUCAGCUUGUACCUUAGAAAUGUUUGACAAAAGAAAAAUACAUUUGCUAACUCCUGAUUAUGAGGCUCUCUAGAUCUUGCAUGUCAAUUUUUUUGUGCAAUUUGUUCCAGUGGCUUCGGGGGAAUUUUAAAAAAGUAGGUUUUUCAGAAAUUCAACAUGCUGGAAAGUCAUUUUGUAUUUUGCAGCACAAAUCAAAUUUUUCUUCUAUGAAUUUAAAUAAUUCUAUUAUGGUCCAUGUAACACUUCACAAUUAAAUUUUUCAGAAAUCAUCAGCAAAUGGAAAAAUGAAAAAAAAAAAAAAACAUUAAAUUUUUUUCAACUACUUCAUGAACAUUUUCUAUUUUUCCAUUUUUUUUUAUCUUACAAUUUGCACUGUGGGCUGUACCAUUAGCCUGGGGGUGUGCUGCAGACUGUUUCACAAAUGCUUAACAUGUAUCCUACUAAAACAGUAACACUGGAGGACACACCUUGUUAAUAAUAAACAUAUGCUACUAUUUACAGAUAAGCAGAAUAGCCCAGGAUAUGAAAGCAAAUUGUGCUAAAUUGCACGUUAAGUGUUUUGUGCCUCACUGAAAACCUAAAGAAAAUACGUGGCUCAGUGAACGAAGACAAAACAGUGGUAUAAAUUAAAAAGCCCAAACCCUAUAUAUUUAUUAAUACAAUUUAUUAAUAAAGUAUAGGUACAGGAAAGCAGAUGAAAAUAUGAAUGCUACAGCCAUGUUAUCCUCCCAUAGGCUUAAUGGAAGAAGUGUAAAAGUAUGGCUGAAUUCGGUAUACACCUUAUUAAUGUUGUGAACUAUAUUGCCUUGCAUACUGGGAAGCAGAUGUGACUGGAAUAUGAAUGCAACAUGCAAAGUCUCAAGUUAAGCAUUUUCCUCCCUUUGAAAACCAUUAUUUGAAAAUGCUAUGGCUUAAUGCAUUAAGACAGUAAUUAAAAAAGCAAAGCAUACACCUUAUUAAUAAAGCAUAGUGUAACACUCGAAUAAAAGUCAAAGGAGUAAAGGAAGAGACCAACAGGUUCCUGACUGGACAAGAUAAUUUAUUUUGGGCAUCAAUAGGCAAAGAGACUCAAGCACACAACCUUAAUAGAUACAAAUAUGCCUUUUAUUCUUAUACAAUACUACAAAUCAUAUUAAAACCUCAAAAGGCCAAAGCAGCAGGUUAAGAUGGGUGUCACAUAUAAUUAAUAGUGUAUUUGACCAAUCAAAAGUUACCUAGAAUAAGUAAGCAAUCAACGAGCAGAAAGGUAUUCAGCAGAGGGUUUCAACACCUAAAAAUUAGUUCAUGUGCCACCAGUUAUACACAAUUUCAUUACACAGCAAACACCAACGGUAUCAAAAUCCAUAUGUGCAUCAGUUAAAUCACACACUUCAAUACACACCGAAAGGCCACUUAAUAUGUGCCAAAACCCCUAUGGCUGGUAACAAUUAGUUAAUCACAUUAAACCAGGACUCCCCAGCGAGUAAGACACUUCAUAUAUAGGCCUACACACAAUUUAAUAAACCAUAAAGGCAGAUAAUGGGCUGCUGGCCCUCUUACCCACUUCCGGACAUGGGGUACAGCAUUCAGGAAAACAACCGCUGGCCGCCAAAAUUUAUUUAGGGAAACCAAAAGCUACAAACUAUCCCUCCCAAUCGCUUUGCACGCAUCGCAGAGAAACAUCCAACCCACGUCCCGGCAAGGUAGCCUCUGCAAGAAGCUCAGCAGCACUCGCAUACAAAAUCCCCCUAAACAACAACAGACCUCAUACCUUUAUUGAUUCCAUUAGAAAUGCAGCACAGGUGUUUGGCUCUUUCCCCUAAUGAGACGUAAGGCAGAUACUACGGGCGCAACCCCUGUUGCCCCUCCCCUUGCCUAAAGAGAAGGGCUUACAUCCACCCCCCUACUCAAAAUGUGUCCACACAUUCCCAAAUACCUCACAUCCUAUAACGUAGAGGCAACAGGCCCUUUGUGGCCCGUGUAGACCACCUCAAAUACUCAGUCUGUGAAACAGGAUACUGUAGCAAUUACUGUUCACAGGAUUGACGUUAGAAUCAGAACACAUUUCCGUUCUAAGGGCAAGGCUAUACCUGGGCUUAACAUAUUGAGAUGCAACACCCUCUCCUCACCAUCAGCCCCUUCCUUCUUAACAACAUAAACGGGUAUAUCGAGAUUAGGUCGUGACAUGACAACAUACACAUUCCGUUCCCAUUUAUCACCCAAUUUACCCCAUCCCCUGGCCCUCUUAUUUAGGACCAUGACUCUCUGCCCCGUCAACAAAGGUUCCCCCUUAACUUUAUGAUCAAAACCCUUCUUUUGAUGAUGUUUUCCGGCUUGAUUAUAGGCAGCCACUAAUCUUUUAUGAUGGAGAUGCACCCAGCUGUCAACUGUCCCCAAAAAUCCAUGUCCCCAGCCUAGCAUAACAUCAAUGGGCAAUUUUGCAUGACGGCCAAACAUUAAAAAAUACGGGGUAUAGCCUGUAGAAGGGUGAGGGGUGUUAUUGUAGGCCUGUACCAAUUCUGCCACAUACUGGUCCCAAUCCUCUUUCUUAUCAUCCUAUAAAGUGCCCAGCAUACUCAACAAUGUCCGAUUAAAACAUUCACAUUUUCCAUUUCCUGAUAGGUGAUAGGGAAUCGUAUCAGACUUACUGAUAUUAUACAAGGAGCAUAGCUCUUUAAUGACCCUCGAUUCAAAAUUUGGGCCCUGGUCAGAGUGCAACUGUUCAAU
ensembl:lncRNA